rnacentral:snoRNA from 1 species
UUAAAUCUAAUGAUGAUCGCAUAGUUCAACAGAUUUUCUAUGAAGAACAAGUUGUCUUUCGCUCCUAUCUGAUGUGUUCC